GAUGAACGCUGGCGGCGUGCCUAAUACAUGCAAGUCGAGCGAACAGAUGAGGAGCUUGCUCCUCUGACGUUAGCGGCGGACGGGUGAGUAACACGUGGAUAACCUACCUAUAAGACUGGGAUAACUUCGGGAGACCGGAGCUAAUACCGGAUAAUAUAUUGAACCGCAUGGUUCAAUAGUGAAAGACGGUUUUGCUGUCACUUAUAGAUGGAUCCGCGCCGCAUUAGCUAGUUGGUAAGGUAACGGCUUACCAAGGCAACGAUGCGUAGCCGACCUGAGAGGGUGAUCGGCCACACUGGAACUGAGACACGGUCCAGACUCCUACGGGAGGCAGCAGUAGGGAAUCUUCCGCAAUGGGCGAAAGCCUGACGGAGCAACGCCGCGUGAGUGAUGAGGGUCUUCGGAUCGUAAAACUCUGUUAUUAGGGAAGAACAAAUGUGUAAGUAACUAUGCACGUCUUGACGGUACCUAAUCAGAAAGCCACGGCUAACUACGUG
rnacentral:rRNA from 1 species